GCCUCGGACAAAGGCAUUGCUGGCGAGUACCUGUAAUUGGAGAGUCCACAUGCAAGGCAAGGAACAAAAGGGAGAUGAAUGGCCGGCGUCUUCUAGCUGCUCGUUGCUAUGGUUUCCAUGGGGGCUGGUGGGGAGUGUGGUUACCAGGCAACGGGAGAGGGACCAAGACAAAGGGAGCCGGAAACAGAAACCUCCGCAAAUGAACUCUAGUAAGAUGGGGGAUGUAUUGGAAGGACAAUGAAAGGACUCCUGAGACCCAAGGCCUGGACUCAGAGCUGGUUCUUACAAGAGACUCCAUCGGGGCACUGAACUGAGAUCAGAAGCCCAGAAGACGGUGCUUUUUCUUUCUCUCUUUCUGGGACCACCUAGAGGCUCCUCUCUGCUUUUCUCUGCACACUGGCUCAGCUCACAGGAUUCAAAAAUGACCUUCAAGGAAGUCCUCUUUCUUUUUUGAUUCAAAUUCUCAAGAGAGAACCUGAUUGGCUCACCUAAAUCAAGUGUACAGUCCUGGUCCAAUCAACUGUGGCCGGGGGGAGAGGCUCCUUGCAUAUAAUGUGACUGAUUACUUGUGGCCAACUCUUCAGUAAUGGCUGCCAAAACAGGGGGUGUAGACAGGACAGGCAUCCCGAGUUAUCUACAUAAACACUCUCACUUCCGCCAUAGGGAUACCGAGAUCAUGCUUGCCUGCUUUCCAGGGCUGUUGUAAGGAGCUCAUACUUAUUGAAGGAGUUUGCAAACUAUCAAGCACCACAAAAGGGCCAGUUGUUAUUUAGGUUAAAGGGGGUAUCUUCAAGACAAAACACCACCCCUCACCUCCUUUGGCAAGAUCACGCCCUGACCCAAUGGGGCAGUGUGCAAGAAAAUUGUUAUUGAUGAGGGAGCAAAGUAAGAGUCUUUGCAGAUAUAAUUAGCUGAUAAGGUCUACCGGAUGGGAGUGGGCCCAGAAUCCGAUGACUGGUGUCCUUAUAAGAAGAGAAGAAGAGACACAGAGGGGAGAAGGCCACGUGAAGAUGGAGGUGGAGGUUGGGGCGACACCGCCAGAAGCCAAGGAAUGCCUGGAGCCACCAGCAGCUGGAAGAGGUCAAGGAUGUUUGUUGAGUGGAUACCGCAGCUUGACAAAAUUUAGCCCAGUGGUUCAGCAAGGAGGCUCUGGACUCAGAACAGCUGGGUUCACAUCCCAGCUGUGCCACUUUCUAGCUGUGUGGCCUUGGACAAAGCGGCCAACCUGUCUGUGC
rnacentral:lncRNA from 1 species